UCUUUCUGCUCACCUUAAGCUCUCUCUCUCUCUCUCUCUCUCUCUCUCUCUCUCUUCCUGUUAAGGUAUCUUUCUCUUUGUUACCUCAGCACACACCCGAAGCUCACGAUCUCACACGAUUGUUUGGGAAGUUUUCAUUCCACAUUCUCGUGCUUGAAGGUCUCUAUAAUCUAGGGUUUUCAUCCCCAUCCUCGCUCGACGCUCUCGAUCUUGCACGAUCGUUUGGGGUUUUCAUUCCACGUUGUCACACUCGAAGAUCUCUGUAAUCUAGGAUUUUCAUUCCUCAUUGUCUCUGUGAUCUUGGGUUUUCAUUCUCCAUUAUUUCUGAGGACAUAAAUAUCUUUGUGUUACCUCUCUCACUUUCCUAAUCAAAGCGGUGGGGAUCAAGAUCGAUUGCUAGUCUGAGCAAAUUAAAGCCACCAACCAACAAGAUCAAGGCAAAUUCGAGGUAAGGAGUCUUUAGCUCAAAAUGGUAGAGCACUUUGGGUUAUACCCAAGGUAUGGUGGUUCGAAUCGACCAAAACUCUUCAGUUGCUUCUUACUGUGACUUGUACUUUGUAUAGAGUUGGAAAUUGUUGUCCACUGGGUAAAAGAGAUUCCCAUUGUGUUACUUGUUUCCACUGGUGAAUAACUGUUUGAUGGUAGUAGACAUUUUUGUAACUAUAAGGUAUUGUGAUUUGAAAGAA